CAUUCGAGUGGCGGACGGGUGAGUAACGCGUGGGUAACCUGCCUUACACAGGGGGAUAACACCUGGAAACAGGUGCUAAUACCGCAUAAGCGCACAGGGCCGCAAUGGCCCGGUGUGAAAAACUCCGGUGGUGUAAGAUGGACCCGCGUCUGAUUAGCUUGUUGGCGGGGUAGGGGCCCACCAAGGCGACGAUCAGUAGCCGGCCUGAGAGGGUGGACGGCCACAUUGGGACUGAGACACGGCCCAAACUCCUACGGAAGGCAGCAG
rnacentral:rRNA from 1 species